CACAAUUGCAAACGGCUGUGGAGAAAUGUACCUUAUGUCGGAGAAACCCGUUUUUCUCGGGGAUAAUUGGAGCUUUGGAUAUUAUCCGUCUCCAGCAGUGGCAGAAUGGAAAAAUGCAAGCAAGUAUUCUAUUGAACUCGUCAAUAGCAAUAAUGAUGAUCAUACGUCCAUUGUACAGACACACGGUGUUUUAGAGCUUCACCAAGUGGGCCAUGAGUAUAUCUUCACAUUGUUCAACGUUAAGAAGAAUACACGUGGAAACACUUAUCGGGUGCAGUGUUCCAAUGGACGCGUUCCAAAGAUCUCCAACACCAUCACUCUGUCUGUCAAAGACAUGCCAGUAAUAGGUCCAUUAACCACUAUAUCAACAUGCAGAGAUUGCAUCAUUUUCAAGACAGAACAGACACUUUCAAAAGUGUAUUGCAUUACAGACGGAGAAUAUAACGAUGCUGAUGUGACGUUUAAAAUCGGAUUUAUUGCGUUCACUUCAGUCGGUCGGUCGCUGACAAGUUUUGGGUUAAAUUCAAGAGAAAAGCCGUCCGAUGAUAUGCAUUGUCUGAAUGCAGUUUGUACAGUUUCUGGAAUAUACCGGAACAUAAAUUCCCGAGGGCCCACCACAUAUAUCGGCGAGUCAAGUGCUUCUGGAAGGAGAAGCUGUUGAUAUUACUUGCACAUCAUCGAAAGCAAGACCGACACCACGGCUGAAAUUGUUUGUAGAGCGAUCUGAAAUUGAUACCAACUUUACGACUGCAUUUGACAACAGAACAGGGUUAUACAAUUCUGUAUUAAAAUUGCAUACAUUUCAAAAGGAGUGGGGAAAUAAGAAAAUGUGGUGUCAACAGCUUCCAGAUCUCGAUGACUUAUAUACAAGCACAUAUAUGUCGAAUCAUAUACAUGUGGAAUACAAAUAUCCCCCAUUGCGAAUGAAUCUUGACGUUAUUGAUCUAGUCAACCCAUCGAAAGCAUUCGCUGUCCGUUGUUCUACGUUAGAUUCUAAUCCGGUGUGUAAUAUAACAUGGGAAACAAGUAUUGAAAACUUUAAGUACGAUUCACAUCAACACUUCAUUUCGAGGUACACAUCAGUUUCAACGAUAAGUUUCAACGUUACUGAUGUCGAUUUUGGGAAACAAAUAACAUGUGGGGCUGAAUGUCCAGACUUUUUAAACACUGUAUCAAACUCAACAACUGUUAUAUUUGCAAAAAAGCCGAGUGUGGCAAUCAGUUCAUCAUCUGUUUUACCCGUUCUACCUACUAGCCACUUAGCGCUCACCUGUGCUUCAAAUGCCUUUCCUUAUGGAAAUAUCACUUGGCAAUUGUUGAAAGCGUUUAAUUCAGUUUCAUCACAUAAAAAGUUGUGCUUAAAUGCAUCCACAUGCACUUAUGAAAUGAUCGCAUCUGACGUUGAACAGGAGUAUGUGUGCAUAGCAAAAAACGAGCAUGGCAGUGACAGAGGGUCCAUAAUUGUAACUUUUGAUAAGGGAGAACCAAGAAAAAGUGGAAGAGGAAGUUUUUUGUGGAUACUGCUCUCUGGAAUAGCCGUUGUCACUCUAGGAAGUAUUUUCCUGGUUUUGUGCGUCUUUCGUAAGCGCUGGUGUCGAUGCAAUACAUUUGCUGUUGCGGAAGUGAGAAAUAUUACAUUCGGCUUGGUAGAGUUGAUACUGAGUGAAAUCGCGAUGCUUCGCCGUUGACUGAUGUGUACGAGGAUGUUAAUAUACAUCAAGAUGGCCAUCAUACGUACCAGGGAAUUGUAGUCGCUUCUUCAAACAUGCCUCAUGAGUUAGACGCAAUCUUGUCUCCAGGAAUAUAUGAUGAGAUUGACGAAAUCAACACGUCUACAGCACAGGCGGGAACUAAUCUGACAACAAAUGCGACUGAAAAUAGGCAAUGCCUGAUCGAAAAUAGUAGCCCGUACGCUAAUAUAAGCCAACGAAUCCCAACAGGGACACAGAUGACUGAAAUGACACGUUACUUUUCAGAGUCAAACAAUCCAGGAAGUGCUAUGGGCGAAACAAACCUAGAAGGAGGUGAAGAUUACUUACAUGUGAUUUAUAGGUUAAAUCAAACGUAAAUGGACACGGUGUUUUCUUCUUUGGACAACAUAGCAAAUGGCUUUUAUACAUGAAAUGAUUGUUACGAACUCUAAUUAUCUUCCAUUUCAUAUGGUAUGAUAAGAUUACUUAAAUGACACGUUACUACUCAAGCCAAAUACUCCAGGAAGUCUUAUUUUAAUAAAAGCAAAGACAUUUGCCAAUACGAACAGUUUGGUUCGAUAAGAUAAAUAACAGUUGAAUAACAAUACCAAUCUGCCUUGUUUAAGCACAAUGAGGCAUACCAUAAGUCGUUCUUUCGGCAUUUUAUGUUAUUUGUUUGUCUCAGAAGCAGUUGGCAAUUUCUAGUAUUUAAAAAUCCUUUACCUAUGUGUUAAUGACUAUUGUUCUUGUAGAAAACUAGAGUGUUGGCAAAACGAACCAGUUGCCCAAAACAUUUUCGUCUCAUUUUUUGUAUGUACAUUGUAACGAUGUGACAUUGCACUGUUUCUGUUUUAUAUUCCUUUUUGUAUCAUAUUAUAAAGAUAUGUUCCAGAAAUAAG